rnacentral:rRNA from 1 species
UACUUAGGGUGCAGGCGUUAAUCGGAAUUACUGGGCGUAAAGCGUGCGCAGGCGGUUUCUUAAGUCAGAUGUGAAAGCCCCGGGCUUAACCUGGGAACUGCGUUUGAAACUGGGAGACUUGAGUGUGGCAGAGGGGGGUGGAAUUCCACGUGUAGCAGUGAAAUGCGUAGAUAUGUGGAGGAACACCAAUGGCGAAGGCAGCCCCCUGGGUCAACACUGACGCUCAUGCACGAAAGCGUGGGGAGCAAACAGG